rnacentral:misc_RNA from 1 species
UUUUUUAUCGGAAAGGGCCAAAAUCAAGGAAGCAAAACAUGCUUCUUAGUCAUGGUGAUGGUAGUGUCCAUUAUGAUUUCGAAGAAAGGAUAAACUUUGCAGUUCAUCCAUCAUUACAAGGUGGUCCUCACAAUAAUCACAUUGCAGCUCUUGCCGUAGCCUUAAAACAAGUAGCUACUCCAGAUUACAAAGCAUACAUGCAACAGGUGAAGAAAAAUGCCCAGGCAUUAGCGUCUGCCUUGUUGAGAAGAAAAUGCAAAUUGGUGACUGGGGGUACUGAUAACCACUUACUGCUCUGGGAUCUAACUACUCUAGGCUUAGCAGGCAGGAACUAUGAG